GAAGCACCAUGGCUCAGUGGUCAAGCACCUGCUUUGCAUGCAGAAGGUCCCAGGUUCAAUCCCCAACUGCAUCA